AAUAAGAUGCCUGAAAAAAAGGAUUAUUUUGAUGUAAUAAAUAAUGUAAAUUUAUACUCUUAUUA
rnacentral:tRNA from 1 species